AACGAACGCUGGCGGCAUGCCUAACACAUGCAAGUCGAACGAUACCUCCGGGUCUUGGGGCGCACGGGGGCGUGCGGAGGGGUAACCUGCCCGUGAGUUCCCUAUAACUCCCCGAGAGGUGUCCUAAUACAGCAGAAUCUCUUCCGGGCUAUGGUCUAUCGCCUUUGGGUGGGCCCGCGUUGGAUUAGCUAGUUGGUAGGGUAAAAGCCUACCAAGGCGACGAUGCAUAGCUGGUCUGAGAGGAUGAUCAGCCACACUGGGACUGAGACACGGCCCAGACUCCGACGGGAGGGAGCAGUGGGGGAUAUUGGACAAUGGGGGCAAGGCUGGUCCAGCAAUGCCGCGUGAGUUGUGAAGGUCUUAGGGUUGUAAAGCUCCUUUACCCGGGAUGAUAAUGACAGUACCGGGAGAAUAAGCGCCGGCUAACUACGUG
rnacentral:rRNA from 1 species